GGUGCGUUAGAUUAGUCUGGUUAAAUCGUUAGCUUGUCACGCUAGAGAUCAUGGGUUCAAAUCCCAUACGCAUCG
rnacentral:tRNA from 1 species